rnacentral:rRNA from 1 species
UACGGAGGCAUCUAGCGUUACUCGGAAUCACUGGGUGUAAAGGGUCCGUAGGCGGCCAAGAAAGUAAAAGGUGAAAUCCUUCCGCUCAACGGGAGAAUUGCUUUUUAAACUGUUUGGCUUGAGGCUGAAAGAGGAGAGCGGAACUGUCAGUGUAAGGGUGAAAUCUGUGGAUAUUGACAGGAACGCCCAUGGCGAAGGCAGCUCUCUGGUUCAGUACUGACGCUGAGGGACGAAAGCUAAGGAAGCAAACAGGAUUAGAUACCCGCGUA